GGCAGCAGAGAUAGCACAUUGAAUGCACCGGUUCCGUCAAUUCCCAACGGUUCUCUGACUUUAAGCAAUGUUGCGCGAAGUUAGUGUCCGGAUGGGUGACCAUCUGGCAAGCCGUAUGACGCUGGCU
rnacentral:rRNA from 1 species